AUUUCUGGCUACUAUAUUUCAGGACGAAUGGAUAAGGAACGAGCCAAGAGCUUGUGUGAGCAAAUCCAAUUUUUGACAGCCAAUGUCACUUACGCGGCUUUGCAGAAUGACGAUACGCGGUUUUGUACUUUAAACGACGAUAUCGAAAUAUACACAUAUGUAGGUAUGUAUGUACA